rnacentral:rRNA from 1 species
UACAGAGGGUGCGAGCGUUAAUCGGAAUUACUGGGCGUAAAGCGUGCGUAGACGGUUUCGUAAGUCGGGUGUGAAAUCCCCGGGCUCAACCUGGGAAUUGCAUUCGAAACUGCGAGGCUAGGGUACGGAAGAGGGAAGCGGAAUUUCUGGUGUAGCGGUGAAAUGCGUAGAUAUCAGAAGGAACAUCAGUGGCGAAGGCGCCACUCUGGGCCGAAACUGACGCUGAGGAGCGAAAGCGUGGGUAGCAAACAGG